rnacentral:tRNA from 1 species
GGCCUCGUGGCUCAGUUGGCUAGAGCGUUGGCUGUACUAACUCCUGCCUCUCGCUAGCGUGGGUUCGAAUCCCACAGAAGCCA